rnacentral:tRNA from 1 species
GCGGGAAUGGUGGAAUUGGUAGACACGCAGGAUUUAGGUUCCUGUGCCGCAAGGCGUGAGGGUUCAAGUCCCUUUUCCCGCACCA